GACGAACGCUGGCGGCGUGCCUAAUACAUGCAAGUCGAGCGAAUGGAUUAAGAGCUUGCUCUUAUGAAGUUAGCGGCGGACGGGUGAGUAACACGUGGGUAACCUGCCCAUAAGACUGGGAUAACUCCGGGAAACCGGGGCUAAUACCGGAUAACAUUUUGAACCGCAUGGUUCGAAAUUGAAAGGCGGCUUCGGCUGUCACUUAUGGAUGGACCAGCGUCGCAUUAGCUAGUUGGUGAGGUAACGGCUCACCAAGGCAACGAUGCGUAGCCGACCUGAGAGGGUGAUCGGCCACACUGGGACUGACACACGGACCAGACUCCUACGGGAGGCAGCAGUAGGGAAUCUUCCGCAAUGGACGAAAGUCUGACGGAGCAACGCCGCGUGAGUGAUGAAGGCUUUCGGGUCGUAAAACUCUGUUGUUAGGGAAGAACAAGUGCUAGUUGAAUAAGCUGACACCUUGACGGUACCUAACCAGAAAGCCACGGCUAACUACGUGCCAGCAGCCGCGGUAA
rnacentral:rRNA from 1 species